rnacentral:rRNA from 1 species
UACGAAGGGGGCUAGCGUUGUUCGGAAUUACUGGGCGUAAAGCGCACGUAGGCGGAUCGAUCAGUCAGGGGUGAAAUCCCAGGGCUCAACCCUGGAACUGCCUUUGAUACUGUCGAUCUGGAGUAUGGAAGAGGUGAGUGGAAUUCCGAGUGUAGAGGUGAAAUUCGUAGAUAUCUGGAGGAAUACCGGUGGCGAAGGCGGCAUCCUGGACCAUUACUGACGCUGAGGCGCGAAAGCUAGGGGAGCAAACGGG